rnacentral:lncRNA from 1 species
UCACUCCUAGCUAACCUUUCUUCCUUCUUCCUUUGCACCUUGACUGCUAACCCCACUCGAACCCUAGCCUUGUUCUUCGUUGUUCUUCCUUUGCACCUAGCUUGACCAACCCAACUCGAACCUAGCCGCUUCACGUCCUUCUUUUAACACCAACCCCACUUGAAGUUCCCAGCAACGUUUUCAUCUUCUUUCACGGCUCGAAGCUCGUGACUCGAACCCGACAAGAGAGUGAAGAAGUAUAUUGACUCGAA